GACGAACGCUGGCGGCGUGCCUAAUACAUGCAAGUCGAACGAAAGCGCCCGGUGCUUGCUCUGGUCAAUCUAGUGGCGAACGGGUGAGUAACACGUGGAUAACCUGCCCAUCAGAGGGGGAUAACAUCCGGAAACGGGUGCUAAAACCGCAUAAGUUUUCGAACCGCAUGGUUUGAUGGUGAAAAUCGGCGCUAGCUUCUGCUCUUGGUUGGUCCCCGGGGGAAUUAGCGAUUUGGUGAGGUAACGGCUUACCAGGGGCGUGAUGCAUAGCCGACCUGAGAGGGGGAUCGGCGACAGUGGGGCUGAGACACGGCCCAGAGUCCUACGGGAGGCAGCAGCAGGGAAUCUUCCGCAAGGGGCGGAAGACUGAAGGAGCAACGGAGCGUGAGUGAAGAAGGUCUUCGGAUCGUAAAACUCUGUUGUUAGUGAAGAACAAGUGCGAGAGUAACUAUGAGCGAGUUGACGGUAUCUAAACAGAAAGCCACGGCUAACUACGU
rnacentral:rRNA from 1 species